rnacentral:lncRNA from 1 species
ACCAUCCUCGCACUUUGGUCAAUUUGACUAAAGUUUGACAUUUAUUUUUCGAAUUUUCGGUAUAUUACAUUCUCCACCCCUUUAAAUAAUUUCGUCCGCGAAAUUACACAUACCUUAACUCGUCGACUCAAAUAAAUACGGAUACUCUUUCCACAUGGUCUCCUCGAGCUCCCAAGUGGCUUCUCACGCAGCAUGGUUGCUCCAUUGGACUUUCACAUAUGGAAUUCUGCGACUCCGCAGCUUUCUUUCUUCUCUCUCGAGGAUGCACACCGGGUACUCCUCAUAAGACAUAUCCUCACGUAACUCCACGGGCUCGUACUCCAAUACAUGU